AACAUGCCUCUAAUCGACACCCUGAAUGAAACUCCCGUCCCGUCCUUUGAUUAUUAUCUCACAUAAGAACUCCAAAGAUGUCUUUAUUUUUCUUCUCAAAACCAUCAUCCAUUGCCGUAUCACUUGCAUCUAUCUGAAUCAAAUCAGAGACUCACAAUUUUCUCUUCCCCUAUUUUUUGCUUUUUUUUCUUCGGUGUUUGAUUUUUGCUUGAUUCCAUCGGCGUUGUUCAUGAGGUUCGAUGUAUGGUUAGGGUUCAGCGAUGGUUGACGGUGUUCUACGAACAGCAUGGGGUGGGGUUCCGGCGAGUCUAACUUGACCCGAUGGCUAUGGAUUCCGGAAAAAGAUUGGUACAAUGACACCCAUGCCAUGGAUCAGGUUCUUUGGAAGCUAGAGGCUUCACUCAUGGAUUGAGAUGAUGUCUGAUGAAACCCUAGACAAAGAUGAGGCUGUAGAGGAAACAGAGUCAGUUUUCUAGCAUCCCUGAAUAAAAAAAAUAUAACAUUUUUAGCCCAUUUGUUGUGUAGGUGCUUGAUGAGAUUAUCGCUUCACAGUUAUCUUCUGCACCAAAAGCUCGACUCGGACCCAAGAAGGUUGACAAUACUGUCUCCAGUAGGUAGUUAACUCUCAAAAAAUAUAAUGCAUGAGGAUGCAUUCCAAGAUAGGUGGAACAUGCUUAUAAGCUUUGACGUUAUAGUUGCACUUCAUUGGUUAUUUUCAAGACAUAUGCUUUGAUUUGUAUUGGAUAUCUUUCGAUUGGAAAGAUAUAUGCUUUGAUUUGAUCUGUAUUCAUAGUGGCUCAUUUUCAGUUAUACAUAUAUAAUUGAAAAAUUGAAUAGGAAAUCAUUCGGGACAACCGCUGCAACGUGCGGGCAUUCCCACUAUGUGACCAAAGAUAAAGGACAGAACUGACCAGCUUUAGUGAACACCAACCCAAACAACAUCGACCAUCUCUCCGAGCACACCAGCAAUAACAUCCGCUGCCAAAAGACAGCUCCAGUUCCCAGGUAAAAGAUUCAACUGAAAUCCAAAAAAUCAACUUGCUGGCCUUUUUCACUGAUGUAGAUAUAAUACCUUUUGGGCAAUGAAGCACCUCUGAAGUCCAACUCAAAGACCUUCUUCUUUACUGAUGUAAAUAUACCUUUUGGGCAGUGAAGCAUUUCUGAAGUCCAACUUGAAGGCCUUCAAAGGCUUCUUUUCUUUACUGAUGUAUGUAAAUAAUAAUAAGAGAUAUUGUUGGGCUAUGGACUGGGGGAUACUAUUUUGAAUUAAGUAUGGGCUUACCAUGUUUAGUGGUACUUAUUAUAUUUUGGCUACAGAGAUUAAGUGGCUGAAUUCUAUCAGUUUCCUUAAUUCAAGUUUUUAAGUUGUUGAUGGAUUA